rnacentral:rRNA from 1 species
AUUGAACGCUGGCGGCAUGCCUUACACAUGCAAGUCGAACGGUAACAGGUCUUCGGAUGCUGACGAGUGGCGAACGGGUGAGUAAUACAUCGGAACGUGCCCGAUCGUGGGGGAUAACGAAGCGAAAGCUUUGCUAAUACCGCAUACGAUCUACGGAUGAAAGCAGGGGACCGCAAGGCCUUGCGCGAACGGAGCGGCCGAUGGCAGAUUAGGUAGUUGGUGGGAUAAAAGCUUACCAAGCCGACGAUCUGUAGCUGGUCUGAGAGGACGACCAGCCACACUGGGACUGAGAUACGGCCCAGACUCCUACGGGAGGCAGCAGUGGGGAAUUUUGGACAAUGGGCGAAAGCCUGAUCCAGCCAUGCCGCGUGCAGGAUGAAGGCCUUCGGGUUGUAAACUGCUUUUGUACGGAACGAAAAGACUCUGGUUAAUACCUGGGGUCCAUGACGGUACCGUAAGAAUAAGCACCGGCUAACUACGUG